UGACACAAUGGCCGACACCUUACAGAGAGU
rnacentral:piRNA from 1 species